rnacentral:lncRNA from 1 species
GAUGGUGGGGGGAGAUGGGGAGGAGGCUCAGCCUCCACGAUCGAUUGAUUGGCACAGGAGGCCCUGCCUCUGCUUUUGAGGGGCCAGCUUCUUGCUGAUUUGAGACAGCAGGGAGAGCGUGAGAAAAUGAAUUGUGACUUGUCCCGGUCUCUCUUAUCUAGUGGUAAGCAUCCGUGGCAUUCAAGACGAAGAUCCCCCUGACGCCCAGCUCCUGAGGCUGGAUAACAUGCUGCUGGCUGAGGGCGUGUGCAGGCCCGAGAAGAGAGGAAGAGGAGGAGCGGUGGCCAGGGCCGGCACAGCAACACCAGGUGGCUGUCCAAAUGACAAUAGCAUUGAGCACUCUGACUACAGGGCCAAGCUGUCCCAGAUCCGACAGAUUUACCACUCUGAGCUAGAGAAAUAUGAACAGGUGAUCUUUCUGCAUGGAAGAGUUUCUGUCAUGUGAAUGCGCAUUUGUCAAAGCGAAACACGGAACGCUAACCACCUUUCUUUCGUGGCGCAGAACAGGGAGUCCAUGCAGUUGGUCGCUGCAGAGGUGGUCCAUUGUUACUGAAAGCCCUUUCCAUUUACUUAACAGUCACCCGCCGGUGUGUGAACUACAGGGGGUGGCAGGCGGCUGCUCCGCUGUGGAACCUGCUGCCCUGUGCCACCCUGCUGCCUAGUCACAGGCCGGCGUGUCUGUGCUCCCACCCCAGGCCUGUCGUGAGUUCACCACGCACGUCACCAACCUCCUCCAGGAGCAGAGCAGGAUGAGGCCUGUCUCCCCUAA